UUACGGCCCUAUCACUUUGAAACUACCGGUUCCCGUACGAUCACCAAAGUUAAGUAAUGUCGAGCCUGGUCAGUACCUAGAUGGGUGACCGCUUGAGAAUACCACGUGCUGUAA